rnacentral:snRNA from 1 species
AAACUUACCUGGCGCCGAGUUCAGGGUGAUCAGCAAGGCUCCGACCCCAGGUGGAGGCUCAGCAUUGCACUCCGCUGUGUUCCGCUGUGUUGAAGCCUGCGACAGACUCUAAUCGGAUUCCCUCGGGGCCAUAGUUUUUACCAGUGGGGAGUUCUCAGACAUUCCUUU